CUGGGAUGAUCUUUCUAUUCAUGUUAGAGUCUGCAUCACUGCCUGUUUUUGGGUCCUCACCUACAACACACAUUUUAACUUGGCUUGUAUUACACAGCGAACAGAGCAGAACCUGAAUCUGAGAACCAGGAUCUGAACGUUCUGGAGGUUUGUGAGGACUGAAGGUUUGAUGAAACCGUUUUCAGAUGAUUCCUGAGCAGAUCCCAGAAAUCCUCAGGAAUCAUCAGGAAAUUAUCUGAUGGAACCUCAGAUCUCAGGAAAUCCACGAAGAAAAAGAAAAACUAGAAGGAGAAUCUCCUAACCAGUCCUGAAGCUGACAGGCAGCCAGUGCAAAAUACAAUCUAAGGACCCAAAAAUACGAUGAGGACGGUCUUCAUCCUUGUUUGGUUUGAUGGGCUCUUCAGGAAAACCAUCAGCGGUUACAGCAGCUGCUUCUUUGGGGGUAAAACUAUGAAAAAACAUCAACUAUGAAGGAAAAUGGACAGGCCUACAGCCAGACUAGCUGGGAUUCCAGAUUCCUGAUGGAUCGUCUGUGCUCCUGUUCCUGGUCGUGGACCUCGCCCUCCCCCGUCCCCCAGUCCUAUCUGGCUGAACUCUAUUCAAAUACGUAGUUGUAGAGUUAGAUCAUCUAAUUCCUCUUCAACAGUCCUGUCCGUCCUGGAUGUGGGCAUCCCUGAGGUUUCUUCUUUUCCUGAAUCAGUUUUUCUCCGUAGUUUUUUUGGGAUGGAGGGUCUAAGGACAGGGAAAACCAGCUUUAUUUAGUCUGUUUAGUUUAGCAAUUAGCUAUUUUUUAUAUUUUACGACUGACCUUCUGCUUCUGUAAAAUGAAGCCGAUUACCCAAUAUCCUGCCCAAAAUGAAUUGAAUUGAAAAAGCUUCCAUAAGAAGAUGACUCAUUUCAGUCUGUUGAUGGGGGGGUUGCAGUAAUUCUUAAAAAGCGUCCUGAUCUUUUCAUCUCUUCCUCUGCAGAGUGAAGCAUUUGUUGAAGAAAUGGAUCGACUCUGAGAGCUCAGAUCUGAAGGAUCGAGCAUCUAUCUGGUCAGGUUUCCGACAACUGUACCAGAAGAUAACGGUCCCUGGACCUGCAGUAGACCUGGGAAACACCAGGGUCCCAUCUCCAGAAAUUCUCUUAGAAGAUGUGGACAAAGCCGUUUGGUUUGACAGUUGUCAAGCAGAAUGUAGAUCAAAGGUUCUAGCUUUAAAAUAUGAGCCAAGUUUCCUCAUUAAUCACUUCUUCACGGUUAUCACGGUCUUUUACUGAUACACUGGAAAAAUAAAAGACUUGGUUGAACAUAA